rnacentral:rRNA from 1 species
GAUGAACGCUGGCGGCGCGCCUAACACAUGCAAGUCGAACGAGCGAGAGAGAGCUUGCUUUCUCGAGCGAGUGGCGAACGGGUGAGUAACGCGUGAGGAACCUGCCUCAAAGAGGGGGACAACAGUUGGAAACGACUGCUAAUACCGCAUAAGCCCACGGCUCGGCAUCGAGCAGAGGGAAAAGGAGCAAUCCGCUUUGAGAUGGCCUCGCGUCCGAUUAGCUAGUUGGUGAGGUAACGGCCCACCAAGGCGACGAUCGGUAGCCGGACUGAGAGGUUGAACGGCCACAUUGGGACUGAGACACGGCCCAGACUCCUACGGGAGGCAGCAGUGGGGAAUAUUGCACAAUGGGGGAAACCCUGAUGCAGCGACGCCGCGUGGAGGAAGAAGGUCUUCGGAUUGUAAACUCCUGUUGUUGAGGAAGAUAAUGACGGUACUCAACAAGGAAGUGACGGCUAACUACGUGCCAGCAGCCGCGGUAAAACGUAGGUCACAAGCGUUGUCCGGAAUUACUGGGUGUAAAGGGAGCGCAGGCGGGAAGACAAGUUGGAAGUGAAAUCCAUGGGCUCAACCCAUGAACUGCUUUCAAAACUGUUUUUCUUGAGUAGUGCAGAGGUAGGCGGAAUUCCCGGUGUAGCGGUGGAAUGCGUAGAUAUCGGGAGGAACACCAGUGGCGAAGGCGGCCUACUGGGCACCAACUGACGCUGAGGCUCGAAAGUGUGGGUAGCAAACAGGAUUAGAUACCCUGGUAGUCCACACUGUAAACGAUGAUUACUAGGUGUUGGAGGAUUGACCCCUUCAGUGCCGCAGUUAACACAAUAAGUAAUCCACCUGGGGAGUACGACCGCAAGGUUGAAACUCAAAGGAAUUGACGGGGGCCCGCACAAGCAGUGGAGUAUGUGGUUUAAUUCGACGCAACGCGAAGAACCUUACCAAGUCUUGACAUCCCUUGACGAUGCUGGAAACAGUAUUUCUCUUCGGAGCAAGGAGACAGGUGGUGCAUGGUUGUCGUCAGCUCGUGUCGUGAGAUGUUGGGUUAAGUCCCGCAACGAGCGCAACCCUUAUGGUCAGUUACUACGCAAGAGGACUCUGGCCAGACUGCCGUUGACAAAACGGAGGAAGGUGGGGAUGACGUCAAAUCAUCAUGCCCUUUAUGACUUGGGCUACACACGUACUACAAUGGCGUUAAACAAAGAGAAGCAAGACCGCGAGGUGGAGCAAAACUCAGAAACAACGUCCCAGUUCGGACUGCAGGCUGCAACUCGCCUGCACGAAGUCGGAAUUGCUAGUAAUCGCAGAUCAGCAUGCUGCGGUGAAUACGUUCCCGGGCCUUGUACACACCGCCC